rnacentral:lncRNA from 1 species
AGAUACCGAGACUGAUUUGCCAAGCGGGGCCGGGACCGAGUGAACGUUAGAUAUAGUUAGUGUUCGAUUUUAGUCUCUUUUGUUUUAUAUCUAGUGUUUUUAGAUGUGAAUUUUGGACUUCGUAAACGAUCAUUUGUUUAUCUGUUUUUGUUUCGUUAUUUCUACGUCCCCCUAUUUUGUUAUUUAUGGAAUCUGUUGGACCGAAAUUUUGUUUGUGUUCCGUAAUAAAAUCGAGUUCUACUUAUGUGAGAAUUUGUUUGAUUCUAGUUGAAAUUAAAUUGCUGAUCUCAUCUCUUGAUUCUUUGGAUUUAGCGGAAAAAUUUGUAAAAAUCUUUUUGCUUGUUUCUGUCUGAUUCUGUAGCCUUAUAUAUUUGCUAAUUUAGCAGGUAUGCGGCGUCUGUUACGCCUCGGGUUCGGGGUGUGACAAUUUCAGUUCGAGUUUCGCAUUUUAUCAACUUAAAUGCCCGUUUCUGUCGUUGCGCACUACAACAAAAACGGUCUAUAGCGACACUUUUAAAUGUAGGUACAUGUCAAAAAAGUGCUGUUAGCUAAAAUUACCGACACUUUUAAAAAGUGUUGCUAUAUGUGGGGUCGCUAGGUAUAUAGUGACAGUUAAAGAGUGUCGCUAUAACCUAAAAGAGUGCUGCUAAUUUACCAACACUUAUUUAAGCAUUUAGCAACCGCCGAAACUCUAUCUCAUUGGCUGCGAUGGCGGAGGAGGACGACAGGAAAGGCUCUUCGUCUAGAAUUUCAGUGGAUUGAGUGAAGAGAGAAGAAAAGAUGGUAAUUGAUUUUUCUUUUCUU